GUCUCAUAGAUGAUGGUGAAACCCCAGAAGCAGCUGCUCUCCGGGAGCUUGAAGAAGAAACUGGCUACAAAGGGGACAUUGCCGAAUGUUCUCCAGCGGUCUGUAUGGACCCAGGCUUGUCAAACUGUACUAUACACAUCGUGACAGUCACCAUUAACGGAGAUGAUGCCGAAAACGCAAGGCCGAAGCCAAAGCCAGGUAUGUGUGUGUCGGCUGUGAUGAAGGUGGUGUGGUUGCAUUACGUGUCUUGGAACUUGCUGCUAGUUUGAUUUAUUAAAAGAAUGUAGUCUUUCAUGGAAAGAAUCGGUCUUUCAAAUAGACUUCAUCAGUAUUCUUGUCUCUCUUCCUAAUCAUGUAUUUUAGCAUUUUUCUUUUGCCACUUCAUUCAUCUUUACGCUUUCUUUGUAAAAAAAUGUUAAAUGACAUAUUUCCCUGUUUUCUAUAUGAAGUGUAUUCCCACUUAGUAAUAUGAG
rnacentral:lncRNA from 1 species